AUGGUAGGUGCAUCACUAUCCAAAACAGCUGUAUUUUCAGUUGAUGCAGCAGUUGGUCCCUCAACAACUCAGUGUCUAUUUAUCUUUGAUAUAAGGGGUAUUUCCACUGGUUUGCCUUGGUAUCAUGUUCAUACCAUUGUAUUGAAUGAUCCCGGUUGGUUUCUUUUUAUUCAUAUAAUGCAUACAGCUCUGGUUGUUGGUUGGGCCGGUUCGAUGGCUUUAUAUGAAUUAGCGGUUAUUGAUCAUUCUGAUUCUGUUCUUGAUCCAAUGUGAAGACAGGUUAUGUUUGUUAUACCCUUCAUGACUCAUUUAGGAAUAACCAAUUCAUGGGGCAGUUGGAGUAUCACGGGGGGACUGUAACGAAUCUAGGUAUUUAGAGUUAUGAAGGUAUAGUAGGAGCACAUAUUGUGUUUUCUGGCUUAUGCUUUUUGGCAGCUAUCUGGCAUUGAGUGUAUUGGGAUCUAGAAAUAUUUUUUGAUGAACUUACAGGAAAAUGCUCUUUGGAUUUGCCAAAGAUCUUUGGAAUUCAUUUAUUUCUCUCAGUGGUAGCUUUCUUUGGUUUUAGUGCACUUUAUGUAACAGGCUUGUAUGGUCUCGGAAUCUGUGUGUCCAAUCCUUAUGGACUAACGAUAAAAGCACAACAUAUAAAUCUAGCGUGGGGCAUGGAAGGUUUUGAUCCUUUUGUUCCAGGAGGAAUAACCUCUUAUCAUAUUUCAGCAGGAACAUUGGCCAUAUUAGCAGGCCUAUUCCAUCUUAGCGUCCAUCUGCCACAAUGUCUAUACAAAAGAUUGCGUAUGGGAAAUAUUGAAACCAUCCUUUCCAAUAGUAUCACUGCUAUCUUUUUUUCAACUUAUUAUGUGGUAUGGUUCGGCAACUACCCUAAUUGAAUUAUUUGGGCCCACUCGUUAUCAAUGGGAUCAGGGGUACUUCCAACAAGAAAUAUAUUGAAGAGUUAGUGCUAGGCUAGCAGAAAAUCAAAGUUUAUUAGAAGCCUGGUCUAAAAUUCCUGAAAAAUUAGUUUUUUACGAUUGCAUUGGCAAUAAUCUGAUAAAAGGAAGAUUAUUCAGAGCAGGUUCAAUAGAUAACGGGGAUGAAAUAGCGGUUGGAUAGUUAGGACACCCUAUCUUUAGAGAUAAGAAAAGGUGUGAAAUUUUUGUAUGUCGUAUGCCUAUUUUUUUUAAACAUUUUCGGUCGUUUUGUAGACGGCGAUGAAAUUGUUAGAGCCGAUAUUCCUUUUAGAAGGGAAAGAUCAAAGUAUAGUGUUGAACAAGUAGGUGUAACUAUUGAGUUCUAUGGCGUUGAACUCAACGGUGUCAUUUAUAGCGAUCCUGCUACUGUGAAAAAAUAUGCUAGACGGGAACAAUUGGGUGAAAUUUUUGAAUUAGAUCAUGCUACUUUGAAAUUCGAUGGUCUUUUUCCUAGUAGUCCAAGGGGUUGGUUUACUUUUGGGCAUGCUUCAUUUGCUUUGCUCUUCUUCUUCGGACACAUUUGGCAUGGUGCUAGAACCUUGUUCAGAGAUGUUUUUUCUAGUAUUGACCCAGAUUUAGAUGUUCAAUUCGAAUUUGGAGCAUUCCAAAAAUUUGGAGUGCCAACUACAAAAAGACAGGCAGCCUGAUACAACAUUGCCUUGGUAUCUUUCUUUCGCCCCUAUUUUCUUUAAUUUACUUUUAUUGACAUAGGGUACCAGAGAAAUAUUUAUUUGAAUCAACUUUGUUUUUAUUCUUGUUCGUUCUUUAUUUGGAA